rnacentral:rRNA from 1 species
GACGAACGCUGGCGGCGUGCUUAACACAUGCAAGUCGAACGGUGAAGCUCCAGCUUGCUGGAGUGGAUCAGUGGCGAACGGGUGAGUAACACGUGAGCAACCUGCCCCUGACUCUGGAAUAAGCGCUGGAAACGGCGUCUAAUACUGGAUACGAGAAGGGUCCGCAUGGGCACUUUCUGGAAAGUUUUUCGGUUGGGGAUGGGCUCGCGGCCUAUCAGCUUGUUGGUGAGGUAAUGGCUCACCAAGGCGACGACGGGUAGCCGGCCUGAGAGGGCGACCGGCCACACUGGGACUGAUACACGGCCCAGACUCCUACGGGAGGCAGCAGUGGGGAAUAUUGCACAAUGGGCGAAAGCCUGAUGCAGCGACGCCGCGUGAGGGAUGACGGCCUUCGGGUUGUAAACCUCUUUCAGCAGGGAAGAAGCGAAAGUGACGGUACCUGCAGAAGAAGCACCGGCUAACUACGUG